rnacentral:rRNA from 1 species
GACGUAGGAUGCAAGCGUUGUCCGGAAUUAUUGGGCGUAAAGCGUUCGUAGGCGGUUUCUUAAGUUUGGGGUUAAAGACCGAGGCUCAACCUCGGGAGUGCCCUGAAUACUGGGAGACUGGAGGACGGGAGAGGAAAGUGGAAUUCCAAGUGUAGCGGUGAAAUGCGUAGAUAUUUGGAGGAACACCAGUGGCGAAAGCGACUUUCUGGGCCGCACCUGACGCUGAGGAACGAAAGCCAGGGGAGCAAACGGG